UGGAGAGAAUAAUAUUUACAAAAACUGAAUAAUUAUGCAUUUGAAAUUUUGAAUUAUUUUGCAGAUCAUACAAUGUUGUUGGUCUAUCACAUUCUCACUGGUGAUUAAAAGCUGAUUGAAUUAGUUUGAUUCUCACUGCAGGCAGGAGCUGGUCACUUUUCACCUAUUGGUGGGUACCAUGCUGGGAAGGGCAUGGCACUGGUUUUGGAUGUUGCGUGUUUUAAGUAUCCUCCUCAUUGGGUUCCACUCAAACUCCUUUGGGAAGCCAUGGAUACUGUUGAUGGAGACAGUGGCCGACCUAGGGGGUAUGUAUUUGUGUAUACUUAACGAAACCAAAUCAAGCCUUUCCCCCAAUCAAUCGGAGUUGGCUACAUGAAUUCUUUCACGCCAUUGAGCUCUGUCAAGGGCAAAAUGUUGACUAUUUGUGCAUGCUUCAUUUAGUGAAAUAUUAAGAUCACCUUGUCUUAGUCAUAGCAGACUUCUUUUCAUGGAAGCAAUUUUUCAAACUGACUUUAUACUAUGCAAGUGGUAGACAUUUUGGAGUUCUGUAUUGUGUCUGUAUUGUGGAUAUUCUUCUUGCAAGCAUUUUAAUCAUUUGGGGUGUUUCAGCAUGAAACACUGAUUGUGUUCAUUUUCUUUUUUCUUUUUUCCUGUUCUGUGAUUAUUUAUUAAAGAAAUUAAUAGCAAUAGUUAAACAAAAUAUAGGUUCUUAAUAUUAAUGCUUUAUUUCUUGCUAAUCAGGAAAAAAAUAUUGCUAUAUUUUUAUAGAUUUAAAGAUGUUAGUUUUAGAGGAAUCCGUCUUACGAUUCGAACCUAUGUGAGAAUUAGAACCUAUCUUUUCUAGAGAAGUUUGCCGGCAAGGAUUCAGUUACAGUUGACCCCUGAUAUUUGUCAUCUAUUUAUUGAAAAGUAAAUAUCUUUUGAGGAAGAAAUCUAGUUCUGCUUCCAUAUUGCUAUUGUAUUAGUUUUACCAAUUUUUUUUUUUAUUUUGACAGAUAAUAUAUGUGUUUCUUUCCGCUUUUAGAUAUCAGAUGUUGAUACAUAUAGAAAUGCAGAGUUGAGAUUGCUUCGCAGCUCAACUUCUAAUACUAGUGAGCAUCUUUGCCUUUGUGCUACAGGAACAAAAACCAUGAAAAUAGAAGUGGCCUGGGCCCUAGGGAAAGUGUGACUUGAUCCUAUUUGAGAAGUAGAAACUAUCUUUCUAGAGAAGUUUGAUAGAAAGGAUUUAGCUAGAGUUGAUAUUUGUCACAUAUUGAUAUUUGUGUACAGUGUGCAAUAAUAAUGCUCCUCUGGUUAAUCUAUGUGUUGGUGUCUGUCUAGUGAUCAGUUUCACCUUAUUUUUUUUGAAGUUUGAUAAAUUUUCCAGGUUCCUGCUCAAUUCUAGCUUCCAGAGUGCCAGCACUGCUCUACAACCCUGGAACGGUCAAUUAGCUUUUUCAAAAUGUCUACUUCUGCACAUACAUGGCACACAACCACACAAUUGAUUAGGAUUCAUUGAUAUCUUUUUAUCCUGUCUUUGUUUCUGUAUAUUUUUUCACAUAUCAGAAAACUGUUCAUUUAUCAUUUAUAAAACGCUUUACUCAUUAAGUAUGUUUUUGUAAUAUAGAUUUCAAAAAAGCAAAAGAAGUAUGGAACCCUUGUCAUAGAGCAUGUCGAUUCUUUCUUUAUCUGCAACUUUGACUACAAAGACUUCUUCAUCUGACUUGUAGAUUAUGGUUCAAAGAGAUUAUUGAUAUUGCAAUUUCUUAUAAUGAGAUCAUCAUGGCUUUUCUGGAAAGAUGAUUUACAAGAUGGAGAGUAACGUUCCCUCUCAUUAUCUUAGCCUGUUCUAUUUCUGAUGAAUAGGAAAAUGGGAUUAACAUGCAACUGUUAAAUUAUUACUGUCAGUUCCUUUCCUUCAAGAAUGUUCGGAAUAGAAAGGAGCUGUAAUUUGAAACUUGUGUGCAUGAAAUCAUGAUUGCAUUUCUUAAGUACCGUGGUCAACUACAAUGGAGUUGUUUCAUGCGAACAACUUUUACCUUUUGUGUCCUCUCCUGAAAGUACAAUAUCUAGGUGGGCAUGUAUAGGCACAUGAAUUAACUUGAUUCAUGCAUGCAUCUACCUUUGUCUUUUAGAUAGCACUGUACACAUUUGCCGUCAUAAAUUUUAUGUGUUGUGAAAGGUUUGAGCUCUCUUCAUCCUCAGUCAGCUCUUCUACUGAUGAAGCAUAUAUUUCUCUUUUUUUUUUUGCAGAGCUGUAAACAUGAGAUUUGGAUCA
rnacentral:lncRNA from 1 species